CUACGGGAGGCAGCAGUGAGGAAUAUUGCACAAUGGGGGGAACCCUGAUGCAGCAACGCCGCGUGGAGGAUGACGCAUUUCGGUGUGUAAACUCCUUUUAUAUGUCAAGAAAAUGACGGUAGCAUAUGAAUAAGCACCGGCUAACUCCGUGCCAGCAGCCGCGGUAAUACGGAGGGUGCAAGCGUUAAUCGGAAUUACUGGGCGUAAAGGACGCGUAGGCGGGUUGGAAAGUCAGGUGUGAAAUCCUACAGCUUAACUGUAGAACUGCACUUGAAACUUCUAAUCUAGAGUAUGGGAGGGGGAGAUGGAAUUAGUGGUGUAGGGGUAAAAUCCGUAGAUAUCACUAGGAAUACCUAAAGCGAAGGCGAUCUCCUGGAACAUUACUGACGCUAAGGCGUGAAAGCGUGGGGAGCAAACAGGAUUAGAUACCCCGGUAGUC
rnacentral:rRNA from 1 species